GCGGUAUAGUCCAGUGGUAAGGUGGUAUGGUGGUAUGGUCCGGUGGUAAGGUGGUAUGGUCCGGUAAGGUGGUAUGGUCCAGUGGUAAGAUGGUAUGGUCUGGUGGUAAGGUGGUAUGGUCCGGUAAGGUGGUAUGGUCCGGUGGUAAGGUGGUAUGUUCCGGUGGUAUGGUGAUAUGGUCCGGUGGUAAGGUGGUAUGGUCCGGUGGUAAGGUGGUAUGGUGGUAUGGUCCGGUGGUAUGGUCCGGUGGUAAGGUGGUAUGGUCCGGUGGUAAGGUGGUAUGUGAGGUGAACCAGCCGUGGAGAAUGCACAUCGAAUUGGACCAAAACCA
ensembl:lncRNA